UCCUAAGAUGAGCUCAACGAGAAUAGAAAUCUCGUGUGGAACAAAAUGGUAAAAGCUCGUUUGAUUCUAAUUUCCAGUACGACUAUGAACCAUGAAAGCGUGGUCUAAU
rnacentral:rRNA from 1 species